UCACGAAACCGGUAUUGUGCACUGCCCCUGCUCCUGGCCCCUCUGAGCCCACCUCCCAGCUACCCAGACUUCCCCAGCUGAGCGAUGGGCUUUGGCGUCUACCAGCCCCGCCCCGCCAUGCUUUACAUAGCAAACUAGGCCCAGAGUUCCUACCCUGAGCACACGUAGGUGGUCAUUUUCACCACCCAGCACUCCUCAAUGCUAUGCUAGCUGGAUCUUCCACAGAACAUCAGGCUUCUCAGAGAGAAUUCCAAGCAUCUCCCAAGUACCCAGCCAGGGACGGGUACUCGGAAAGAAAAGUGGUGAGAAGGAAGGUUCUAAUGGCUGUGUGCCUGGCCAAGAGAGCUAUGCCAUAUCUGUCCACCUCUAGGGACAGAGGGCAGAAGGAGGAGCAGGGAGUGGCCACGGCGCCACGUAGCUCUGGCUCUGGAACCCCUGCCCCUUCCUUGCACCUCUGUCGCCAAGGAGUCCUUGCAGGUAUUUCUUUGAAAGUCAGAACAUGUGGGACAUGGUGUUACUGGGUCGUGCCAGGAUGCCUAACCAUGCUCCAUUGUUUUCCUAUCACUUCUAAAACAUGUGUGUGAAGGGAAAACUGCAGGAGUUCCAGAGACGGCCUUUAGGGCCCCUGUGCUCUUUGAGCAUGAAAAGAUCCUUGGAGAGAAUCCAACCAUUCCUGAAUACAAGCAUGGACUUUGCAUUAUCGUAGAGUUGAGGGUCUCUAACUUCCCGAGGCCAGGGGGCAGCUAUAA
rnacentral:lncRNA from 1 species